rnacentral:snRNA from 1 species
UAGCUUUAGCAGCACAUAUACUAAAAUUGGAAAGAUACAGAAAAGAUGAGCAUGGCCCCUGCACAAGGAUGACACAUAAAUUUGUGAAGCAUUCCAUAUUUUU